rnacentral:misc_RNA from 3 species
AACGCACAUUGCGCCCCUUGGUAUUCCGGGGGGCAUGCCUGUUCGAGCGUCAUUUCAACCCUCAAGCUCUGCUUGGUAUUGGGCCCUGCCGGCGACGGCAGGCCUUAAAAACAGUGGCGGCGCCCUGAGGCCCUGAGCGUAGUACAUCUCUCGCUACAGGACCCUCUAGGACGCUGGCCAUCAACCCCCAAUCUUUCUAUGGUUGACCUCGGAUCAGGUAGGGAUACCCGCUGAACUUAA